rnacentral:rRNA from 1 species
AGAGUUUGAUCCUGGCUCAGAACGAACGCUGGCGGCAGGCUUAACACAUGCAAGUUGAACGGGAUUUGUAUGGUGCUUGCACCAUGUAAUGAGAGUAGCGCACUGGUGAGUAACACGUGGGAACAUACCUUGAAGUGGGGGACAACAGUUGGAAACGACUGCUAAUACCGCAUAAUCCCUGAGGGGGAAAGAUUUAUCGCUUUAAGAUUGGCCCGCGGAAGAUUAGGUAGUUGGUGGGGUAAAGGCCUACCAAGCCGACGAUCUAUAGCUGGUCUGAGAGGACGAACAGCCACAUUGGAACUGAGACACGGUCCAGACUCCUACGGGAGGCAGCAGUGAGGAAUAUUGGGCAAUGGAGGAAACUCUGACCCAGCCAUGCCGCGUGAGUGAAGAAGGUUUUCGAAUUGUAAAGCUCUUUCGGAUGGGACGAUGAUGACGGUACCAUCUAAAGAAGCCCCGGCAAACUUCGUGCCAGCAGCCGCGGUAAUACGAAGGGGGCGAGCGUUGUUCGGAAUUACUGGGCGUAAAGGGUGUGUAGGCGGAUUUGUAAGAUAGUGGUGAAAUACCUGAGCUCAACUUAGGAAUUGCCAUUAUAACUAUAGAUCUGGAGUGACAGAGAGGAUAUUGGAAUACCCAGUGUAGAGGUGAAAUUCGUAGAUAUUGGGUAGAACACCAGUGGCGAAGGCGAGUAUCUGGCUGUCAACUGACGCUGAGGCACGAAAGCAUGGGGAUCAAACAGGAUUAGAUACCCUGGUAGUCCAUGCUGUAAACGA